rnacentral:lncRNA from 1 species
UCACUGGGACUUUUGCAUCAACCGUAGUAAUUGAUAUCCUCAUUUUAUGACACUCAUAUGAUGAGUCAAAGCCAAAAGAUCAAUUUAAUAUUUCACACUACAUCAUCUACAAAGUUAAUAGAGUUGUUAAACAUAAUGUUAUUUCUCAUUCGCCAUAAACACUAAACAAUAUCCAUCCAAAUCGCCCCUAUUUUUGGUUUCUGGAUUUUACCCCGUAACGAAAAAUAGAAGUUUAGGAAACUAGGACAACAAUCAUCAAAC